CGCAUAGUCCAAGUUGAGAGACAAGCAGGGGAAAAAGAGUUUUGCAAUACAAGUUACCAAUCAGCUAAGUUUUUGGAUUGCAUGUGGAUAAGAUUUUGAAGGAUGAAGAUUGGAGUUGGUGGAAGACUCAUCCUUUUCACCACCACCAUGAAACCAGACAACCCCAAAACUAAAAUGAAUUAUUUUUUAAAAAACA